rnacentral:rRNA from 1 species
CCUACGGGUGGCAGCAGUCGAGAAUCAUUCACAAUGGGGGAAACCCUGAUGGUGCGACGCCGCGUGGGGGAAUGAAGGUCUUCGGAUUGUAAACCCCUGUCAUGUGGGAGCAAAUUAAAAAGAUAGUACCACAAGAGGAAGAGACGGCUAACUCUGUGCCAGCCGCCGCGGUAAUACAGAGGUCUCAAGCGUUGUUCGGAAUCACUGGGCGUAAAGGGUGCGUAGGCGGUUUCGUAAGUCGGGUGUGAAAGGCGCGGGCUCAACCCGCGGACGGCACAUGAUACUGCGAGACUAGAGUAAUGGAGGGGGAACCGGAAUUCUCGGUGUAGCAGUGAAAUGCGUAGAUAUCGAGAGGAACACUGGUGGCGAAGGCGGGUUCCUGGACAUUAACUGACGCUGAGGCACGAAGGCCAGGGGAGCGAAAGGGAUUAGAUACCCCAGUAGUC